UGGCUCACCAAGUCGACGAUCAUUAGCUGGUCUGAGAGGAUGACCAGCCAGACUGGAACUGAGAACGGUCCAGACUCCUACGGGAGGCAGCAGUAGGGAAUUUUCCACAAUGGGCGCAAGCCUGAUGGAGCAACGCCGCGUACAGGAUGAAGGCUCUAGGGUCGUAAACUGCUUUUAUCUGUGACGAAUAUGACGGUAGCAGAUGAAUAAGGAUCGGCUAACUACGUGCCAGCAGCCGCGGUCAUACGUAGGAUCCAAGCGUUAUCCGGAAUUACUGGGUGUAAAGAGUUGCGUAGGUGGCAGAGUAAGUAGGUAGUGAAAGCGUUCGGCUCAACCGAAUAAACAUUAUCUAAACUGCUCAGCUAGAGGAUGAGAGAGGUUAUUGGAAUUCCCAGUGUAGGAGUGAAAUCCGUAGAUAUUGGGAAGAACACCGAUGGCGUAGGCAGAUAACUGGCUCAUUCCUGACACUAAGGCACGAAAGCGUGGGGAGCAAACGGGAUUAGAUACCCCGGUAGUCCACGCCGUAAACUAUGGAUGCUAGCUGUAAGAGGUAUCGACCCCUCUUGUAGCGAAGCUAACGCGUUAAGCACCCCACCUGUGGAGUACGGUCGCAAGACUAAAACAUAAAGGAAUUGACGGGGACCCGCACAAGCGGUGGAGCGUGUUGUUUAAUUCGAUGGUAAACGAAGAACCUUACCCAGGUUUGACAUCCUGCGAAUUUUGCCGAAAGGCGAGAGUGCUUUAUUGAGCGCAGUGACAGGUGUUGCAUGGCCGUCGUCAGCUCGUGUCGUGAGAUGUUUGGUUAAGUCCAUCAACGAGCGCAACCCUUAUAGUCUGUUGUAUUUCUCAGGCUAGACUGCCCUGGUAACAGGGAGGAAGGGGGGGAUGAUGUCAGGUCAGUAUUACCCUUACAUCUGGGGCUACAAACACGCUACAAUGGCCGGUACAAAGGGCUGCCAAGUCGCGAGACGGAGCAAAUCCCAUCAAAGCCGGUCCCAGUUCAGAUUGCAGGCUGAAACUCGCCUGCAUGAAGUCGGAAUCGCUAGUAACGGUAGGUCAGCUAUACUACCGUGAAUACGUUCCCGGGUCUUGUACACACCGCCCGUCAAACCAUGAAAGUCGCCAAUACCUGACGUGUUGCCUUCGCGCAGCCCUAAGGUAGGGGAGAUGAUUGGGGUUAAGUCGUAACAAGGUAACCGUACU
rnacentral:rRNA from 1 species